AGUGAACGCUGGCGGUAGGCCUAACACAUGCAAGUCGAACGGCAGCACAGUAAGAGCUUGCUCUUACGGGUGGCGAGUGGCGGACGGGUGAGGAAUACAUCGGAAUCUACUUUUUCGUGGGGGAUAACGAAGGGAAACUUACGCUAAUACCGCAUACGACCUACGGGUGAAAGCAGGGGAUCUUCGGACCUUGCGCGAUUGAAUGAGCCGAUGUCGGAUUAGCUAGUUGGCGGGGUAAAGGCCCACCAAGGCGACGAUCCGUAGCUGGUCUGAGAGGAUGAUCAGCCACACUGGAACUGAGACACGGUCCAGACUCCUACGGGAGGCAGCAGUGGGGAAUAUUGGACAAUGGGCGCAAGCCUGAUCCAGCCAUACUGCGUGGGUGAAGAAGGCCUUCGGGUUGUAAAGCCCUUUUGUUGGGAAAGAAAAGCAGCAGGUUAAUACCCCGCUGUUCUGACGGUACCCAAAGAAUAAGCACCGGCUAACUUCGUG
rnacentral:rRNA from 1 species